GGGAUAUGAUGAGUGGUCAUUACUCGCAAGCGUUGCGAGAUGGGUGUCCGCCCCACGCCUGGUUACGACAACCUGGGCACUCCCAUUUUUACCAUCUGAUCCC
rnacentral:snoRNA from 1 species